UGAUACUCACUACAUCCCAUGCCCUUUAAAUCCAGACCUCUCUUCUCCCAUCCUGCCACUGACUUGGUCCCAAUUAUUUGAAGAUUUAUUUUGAAGUGACACCUGGCAAAACUUAACACACAGCAACUCUGCUAAGAUGCUUCUUGAUACAA